UUCUAAUUGCUUCAUAAUUAGUAAAACCUGCUCAAUGAUUUAAAUAGCCGCAGAAACACUGUGCUAAGGUAGCAUAAUCACUUGCCUUGUAAUUCAAGGCUAGCAUGAAUGGUUUAACAUGUAAUUUUCUUUAUUAAAUUAAACUUCUCGAAAUUUACAUAUAAGUAAAAAAGCUUAUUAACCCAGGGGGACGACAAGACCCUGAUGAACUUUUCCCUUAGAUUUGCUGGGGUGGCAAAAAAAUAACUUCUUUUUUUCAUCUCCAUUAUCAACUUUUCAUAAAAAUUAAAACAAGUUACCACAGGGAUAACAGCAUAAUUUUUUCUUAGAGACCUUAUCAAAGAAAAAGAUUGUGACCUCGAUGUUGAAUAUUAAAUCUUCCAUUAAAGCAUAAAUUUGGAAAGAAAUUCUGUUCGACUUUUAAAAUUUUACA
rnacentral:rRNA from 1 species